rnacentral:lncRNA from 1 species
UGGUUAUAACCACACGGUAAGGGGGCUGUAAUCAAGACAAAGAAGAGAUGCAUUUGUUUUCCUAAUAAAAGCCCGAUUUAGUGAACAUAAAAUAAGCCAGUGAUAGACUCUGAAAAGUGCUUCAAAACUCUGUCAUUGAGGAUUCUUUUUUACAUCAUAUAAGUGAAAAUUCGGCAUUUGGACCUGUGGUGAUCUUUGCAUGAAGUUACACAGCAUAUAAGUUUCUUUAUUUUCUCACUUGUCCAUAGUGUUUCCCAUGUAGCAAUGGUUCACACUCUGCAGAAACCAUCCUACAAGGAUCCCUCAAUAAAUGAGUGUUCAGUGACCGAGCCUUGGAGGAUAGCGUUCUCAUGUGCUCUUAGGAUGUGCGCAUCUCUCAAACGCAGAGGACGUGGCUCCUGUAGGGGAGCCUAUAAUUCUGCCUAGAAAUCAUAUCAAAACCAGUAGAACACUACCUGCUUUCCUCCUUUCAUGUGGGCUCAAGGAGUUAACUCCAUAAACUUCCCAAUGAAUCCCAGUUCCCAAGCCCAGCACAUUCUUCUCAGAUUCUUUCCUUAGACCCUGGAGCCUUCCUAAUUAGCCAAUAGAUGUAUUUCUAACUAGUGUAGCCUAGUUUGCAUGUUUUAGAAAGCAUAAAUCAGAGCAUAACUGCCUGCCAAUAACACAGUUGGAGCAGGAGGUGGAGAAGAAGCCAAUGCAAAUUUGUUGGAGGAUGUCUGUAAUAGAUAAACUGAAGGCGUGGUUAGAUGGAAGUCUGCGACAUGCCAAGGAGCCACCAUUUCUGCUGACCCACACUGGUUCCACCUCUAAGACUUAUGUAUCUGACUUGGAGUUUUUGUGCUGAUCUUCAUGGUUUGUGUGUGUGUGUGUGUGUGUGUGUGUGUGUGUGUGUGUGUGUGUGUGUGCUAGGAUCUAUGUUGCCCAUCAUUGUGUUUUGUGACUGCUUUUCAAUGUACCACUUUCUAAUUUCUAAUAGAGUUUUACUGAGAACAUCCUGUAACCAUUGCUGCGAACAUUAUCCAGAUAUGUUCACGUGAGUGCCAUCCACUUUAGAGAACAUGGCUUCCUACCUUCAGUCCUUUAAGAAUUAUAGAUAGAGUACCUUUCUUUCCCCUGAGAUGAAUGAGUUAGAAGAUCGAUGCUCUCACUGGUGUAGAAGUAACCAGUCCAAUUUAAAAACAAUAGAACUCGUUCUUUCUUCUCUGAGGUUUUCACUCUGUUGUUUCCUAUUUUAAGCUCUGGGAUUUUGCACCUCUGGUGUGCUUAAAGACAAGUCUUUGUUUUAUAGUAGUUUCAUAAGGUUGGUUUCCUAGAGGAAAGGUUAGAUUUUUAAAGCCUUGUAUAGUAUAGUGACUUUCAUAGCCCCACUGUUAUUUAAUGGUACCAUUUGUGGAUGUGGGGGGUAGAAAGCUAUUAGAAAGUCACAGCCCCUGACUUGUAGCUAAAACUCUGAAGAUCAUUCUUUGGUUCUGUCUGAUGUACAAGAGGUUCUAGUUUUCUGAAUAAUAAUUUGGGAAUACUUAACAAAACCUUUUUAUAUAAUUGCCUUUGAGACAGGGUCUUGGUAUAUAACAUAGACUGGCCUUGACCUUGGGAUCCUCUUACUCAAUCCUUACAGGAGGAUGUUACCAUGUCUACCUACAAAAGCAUUUAAAAAAAUGUAUGUGUCCUUUUAAGUAUGUUACCAAAAGAAAGAGUGAUAUGAACAAAAAUUUGUCAAAAGAUGUUUAUUUCUAGACAAGAUGGAAUAUGAGCUUUAGGAGUAGAGGAGAUAAAAUAACAAGGUUUAAGUAGUACAGCACCACAGAUUCUCACAUAUUCUAAGAAUAUGAUCACCUGGGUAGCUAUUGAUAAUGAAGCUUUGCAUUUUUAACCAAUAGCCCUAGACUGAGGGGGAUGUAACUCUACAAUGAUAUCAUAUUUACCACAAAAAUUAGUUUCUGAUACUAUUUGCUCCCAAGUUCAAAUGGACAUGAAAUUUAGCCUGUGAGGACUACAAAUAGUUUUCAUUUCUUUUAUUUACUUAUCUUUGAGAUCCUUAUACACUAUAUAUAUUUUUAAUCGUAUUCUUUCCCAUUUCACAACUGCUCCCAGAUACUCUGCCCAUCUUUAUAUAGCAACUUCACAUUUUUCUCUCUCUCUUAAAAAACAACC